UUUCGUGUCAUAGUGGCGCACGGGUGCGUAACGCGUGGGAAUCUGCCCCUUGGUUCGGAAUAUCUCAGAGAAAUUUGAGCUAAUACCGGAUGACGACGUAAGUCCAAAGAUUUAUCGCCGAGGGAUGAGCCCGCGUAGGAUUAGUUAGUUGGUGGGGUAAAGGCCUACCAAGGCGACGAUCCUUAGCUGGUCUGAGAGGAUGAUCAGCCACACUGGGACCGAGACACGGCCCAGACUCCCACGGGAGGCAGCAGUGGGGAAUAUUGGACAAUGGGCGAAAGCCUGAUCCAGCAAUGCCGCGUGAGUGAUGAAGGCCUUAGGGUUGUAAAGCUCUUUUACCCGGGAUGAUAAUGACAGUACCGGGAGAAUAAGCUCCGGCUAACUCCGUGCCAGCAGCCGCGGUAAUACGGAGGGAGCUAGCGUUGUUCGGAAUUACUGGGCGUAAAGCGCACGUAGGCGGCUUUGUAAGUUAGAGGUGAAAGCCUGGAGCUCAACUCCAGAACUGCCUUUGAUACUGCAUGGCUUGAAUCCAAGAGAGGUGAGUGGAAUUCCGAGUGUAGAGGUGAAAUUCGUAGAUAUUCGGAAGAACACCAGUGGCGAACGCGGCUCACUGGCUUGGUAUUGACGCUGAGUGCGAAAGCGUGGGGAGCAAACAGGAUUAGAUACCCUGGUAGUCCACGCCGUAAACGGAUGAUAACUAAGCUGUCGG
rnacentral:rRNA from 1 species